CAGCCGCCGCGGUAAUACCGGCGGCCCGAGUGGCGGUCACUAUUAUUGGGCUUAAAGCGUCCGUAGCCGGGUUGGGAAGUCCUCCGGGAAAUCUGGCCGCUUAACGGUCCGAAUGCCGGAGGAUACUCCCAGCCUAGGGAGCGGGGGAGGCCGAGGGGAUUCCCGGGGUAGGGGUGAAAUCCUAUAAUCCCGGGAGGACCACCUGUGGCGAAGGCGCUCGGCUGGAACGCGUCCGACGGUGAGGGACGAAGGCCAGGGGAGCAAACCGGAUUAGAUGCCCGGGUAGUCCUGGCUGUAAACGAUGCGGACUUUGUGUCGGACAAGCUAUGAGCUUGUCCGGUGCCGGAGGGAAACCGUUAAGUCCGCCGCCUGGGGAGUACGGCCGCAAGGCUGAAACUUAAAGGAAUUGGCGGG
rnacentral:rRNA from 1 species